rnacentral:rRNA from 1 species
UGACGGGGACCCGCACAAGCGGUGGAGCAUGUGGUUUAAUUCGAAGCAACGCGAAGAACCUUACCAAAUCUUGACAUCCUUUGACCGCUCUAGAGAUAGAGUUUUCCCCUUCGGGGGACAAAGUGACAGGUGGUGCAUGGUUGUCGUCAGCUCGUGUCGUGAGAUGUUGGGUUAAGUCCCGCAACGAGCGCAACCCUUAAGCUUAGUUGCCAUCAUUAAGUUGGGCACUCUAAGUUGG